rnacentral:sRNA from 1 species
AUGUACCACGCGUCCACUGCGGUUCUGAGCGCGCCGUCCGCGCCCGCCUGGCGGCGGCACGCUACGUUUUGUUAGCU